rnacentral:rRNA from 1 species
AUAUCAAUAAGCGGAGGAAAAGAAACCAACAGGGAUUGCCUCAGUAACGGCGAGUGAAGCGGCAACAGCUCAAAUUUGAAAUCUGGCCUCUGGCCCGAGUUGUAAUUUGCAGAGGAUGUUUCUGGCGAGGUGCCUUCCGAGUUCCCUGGAACGGGACGCCAUAGAGGGUGAGAGCCCCGUACGGUUGGUCGCUAAGCCUCUGUGAAACUCCUUCGACGAGUCGAGUAGUUUGGGAAUGCUGCUCUAAAUGGGAGGUGUACGCCUUCUAAAGCUAAAUAUAGGCUAGAGACCGAUAGCGCACAAGUAGAGUGAUCGAAAGAUGAAAAGCACUUUGAAAAGAGGGUUAAAUAGUACGUGAAAUUGUUGAAAGGGAAGCGCUCUUGACCAGACUUGCGCCGGUUGAUCAUCCACCGUUCUCGGUGGUGCACUCUGCCGGCUCAGGCCAGCAUCAGUUCGGCUUGGGGGAUAAAGGCUUCGGGAAUGUGGCUCUCUCCGGGGAGUGUUAUAGCCCGUUGCGUAAUACCCUGGGCCGGACUGAGGUUCGCGCAUCUGCAUGGAUGCUGGCGUAAUGGUCAUCAGUGA